UACGUAGAGGGCUAGCGUUGUCCGGAAUUAUUGGGUGUAAAGGGUACGCAGGCGGUCUAGCAAGUCAGAAGUGAAAUCCACAGGCUCAACCAGUGAACUGCUUU
rnacentral:rRNA from 1 species